rnacentral:rRNA from 1 species
GACGAACGCUGGCGGCGUGCUUAACACAUGCAAGUCGAACGGUGAAGCUCCAGCUUGCUGGAGUGGAUCAGUGGCGAACGGGUGAGUAACACGUGAGCAACCUGCCCCUGACUCUGGAAUAAGCGCUGGAAACGGCGUCUAAUACUGGAUACGAGAAGGGCCCGCAUGGGCACUUUCUGGAAAGUUUUUCGGUUGGGGAUGGGCUCGCGGCCUAUCAGCUUGUUGGUGAGGUAAUGGCUCACCAAGGCGACGACGGGUAGCCGGCCUGAGAGGGCGACCGGCCACACUGGGACUGAGACACGGCCCAGACUCCUACGGGAGGCAGCAGUGGGGAAUAUUGCACAACGGGCGAAAGCCUGAUGCAGCGACGCCGCGUGAGGGAUGACGGCCUUCGGGUUGUAAACCUCUUUCAGCAGGGAAGAAGCGAAAGUGACGGUACCUGCAGAAGAAGCACCGGCUAACUACGUG